rnacentral:tRNA from 1 species
CCAGAGGUACCCAAGUGGCCAACGGGGGCUGACUGUAAAUCAGCUGGCUUAUGCCUACGGAGGUUCGAAUCCUCCCCUCUGGA